rnacentral:rRNA from 1 species
GACGAACCGUGCGAACGUUAUUCGGAAUCACUGGGCUUAAAGCGCGUGUAGGCGGAUGGGAACGUCGGUAGUUGAAAGCCCCCGGCUCAACCGGGGAAGUGGUGCCGAAACGACCCGUCUGGAGGGACGAUAGGGGGACCUGGAACUUCCGGUGGAGCGGUGAAAUGCGUUGAGAUCGGAAGGAACGCCCGUGGCGAAAGCGAAGGUCCUGG